UAAUAUUUAUGAAUUGCAGUUUUUUCUGUUAAAACUUCUCGAUCCCCCUUUUCUCCCACCCUGCUUUACACUUGCUCCUGUAGUUUUUCAGAAUAUUGUAAAAUACUGGGCCAUUAAUGCAUUGGGAAGUGAGGGAUGCUUACAAAUGUGUUAAAAUAAAACAUUGGAUAUCAUCUACAAGUAUGCAUGUUAUCAACCAAACUUUUAUCUUUUAGAGAGUAUUAGUUGAAGAAGGAUAGCAGUGACUCCUGGGUGAGUGUCCCCUGAAUCUGCUGCUGUUCUGCAGGACCCAGCAGUAUCCCAGUUUCAAAAUAGAGAGAGUGCAAAAUUCAUCCACCAGCCUUUGCCAUGUUGUGAACAUCCCCAGUCUGUUUCCUCUGGAAGAACUCCAAGUGACUUGAAAGGGAUAAAGAUGAGGAACAAAACAACAACCUUCCUGAAACUCUGGAAGAAGGAGAGAAUGGUGCAUCCUCUUGCUGUUUCCUGCCAUGCCUUGCUAUUCCAGGUGUGUUCAGAUUUCUUUUGUUUCAUUCCUUGCAUGGUGAUUUUCAUUCUGGAGCUCCUUUUUGUCCGUUUCUCCACAGCUUCUCCCAGAUGGAGCAAAGACCUUUAGAAGUUUGAGGGACACACAAAUGACAGAACCUGAAUUAGGAAGAGGCUGCACCUUCCCAGUUGUGCCAACAUGCCACUUGUGAACAGAGGCUUUGAACACAUGCCACAUAAGGAACUCCAUAAUGAAAGAGGUUAUCACCCAGGAGUUAUACCCAGCUUGUUUUUCAGCCCUGCAAAGGGAAGAUACUGUGCUGUGAACAAAGCAGUGAUGGCUCUUGGGUCCUCCCUGGGCGCGAGGAGAGCAGUGGAGCUGUUUUGGAUGGCACAUGUACAGGUACCCACUGACCCAUGGGACACAUCCUCCUCUGCUCUGUCACUUGGGGGAGUUCAAUGAAGGCAAGCAAACAGACAAGCCUCCA
rnacentral:lncRNA from 1 species